UACGUAGGUGGCAAGCGUUUGUCCGGAUUUAUUGGGCGUAAAGCGCGCGCAGGCGGUCCUUUAAGUCUGAUGUGAAAUCUUGCGGCUCAACCGCAAGCGGUCAUUGGAAACUGGGGGACUUGAGUACAGAAGAGGAAAGUGGAAUUCCACGUGUAGCGGUGAAAUGCGUAGAGAUGUGGAGGAACACCAGUGGCGAAGGCGACUUUCUGGUCUGUAACUGACGCUGAGGCGCGAAAGCGUGGGGAGCAAACAGGG
rnacentral:rRNA from 1 species